rnacentral:rRNA from 1 species
UACAGAGGUCUCAAGCGUUGUUCGGAUUCAUUGGGCGUAAAGCGCGUGUAGGCGGUCCGGUAAGUCGGCUGUGAAAGUCCAGGGCUCAACCCUGGGAUGCCGGUCGAUACUGCCGGACUAGAGUUCGGAAGAGGCGAGUGGAAUUCCCGGUGUAGCGGUGAAAUGCGCAGAUAUCGGGAGGAACACCAAUGGCGAAGGCAGCUCGCUGGGACGUUACUGACGCUGAGGCACGAAGGUCAGGGGAGCAAACGGG